UGGGACAGUUGGGCUGAUAGCUGGAGCUACUUUAGGAGUUGGUGAUGAUAUAGGAGUGGUUGCAGCUGGAGGUGUUGGUGCACUUACUGGAGAUCGUGUUGNNNNNNNNNGGUGAAGUUGAAGGUGGAGGUGUAGUUGUAGGUGGAGGUGUAGUAGGCAAAGUCACUGGUGAUGCUACCGGUGCUUGAGCAUCGGUAAUGGUUAACUGGAAGCAGAGGCAAGCCAAGAUGAAAGCCAAAAAC
rnacentral:misc_RNA from 1 species